rnacentral:rRNA from 1 species
CUACGUGCCAGCAGCCGCGGUAAUACGGAAGGUCCGGGCGUUAUCCGGAUUUAUUGGGUUUAAAGGGAGCGUAGGCUGGAGAUUAAGUGUGUUGUGAAAUGUAGACGCUCAACGUCUGACUUGCAGCGCAUACUGGUUUCCUUGAGUACGCACAACGUUGGCGGAAUUCGUCGUGUAGCGGUGAAAUGCUUAGAUAUGACGAAGAACUCCGAUUGCGAAGGCAGCUGACGGGAGCGCAACUGACGCUGAAGCUCGAAGGUGCGGGUAUCGAACAGGAUUAGAUACCCUGGUAGUCCGCACAGUAAACGAUGGAUGCCCGCUGUUGGUACCUGGUAUCAGCGGCUAAGCGAAAGCAUUAAGCAUCCCACCUGGGGAGUACGCCGGCAACGGUGAAACUCAAAGGAAUUGACGGGGGCCCGCACAAGCGGAGGAACAUGUGGUUUAAUUCGAUGAUACGCGAGGAACCUUACCCGGGCUUGAAUUGCAGAGGAAGUAUUUAGAGAUA